rnacentral:rRNA from 1 species
AAUUUGUUUCCUAAUUAGAAAAUAGUAUGAAUGAAUCCACCUCUUAUAGAUUUGUUAUAAAGGGCCUAGCCCAAAUUAAAACUUUGAUGAAAAUUUCAAAAUCUAAAACUUAGACGAUAAGACCCUAUGAAGCUUGACUAAAAGAGUUAAAAAUUUAUAUUGAGUUUCUUGAUUGGUUUAAUUGGGGCAAUGGCUAAUAGAAAUAUUAUAGAGCUCUUUAAUAUCACUGAUCCUAAAAGGAACCUGUGAACCAGCUACUCUAGGGAUAACAGCACUAUAGUUAAAAAAGUUCUUAUUAGAAUAACUGU